CUGGCGGCGGGGCGGGAGCGGGGCGGGCCCGGGCCGGCUCCUGCCCCUCGGCCGCCUCACCGCCGCCCCCGGAAAACUCGUCACAUUUAUGGGACAGUGACAACACUUCUAGAUUGCCCAUUAGAUCGACGGAGAAACAAACGCCCUAGAAGCAGUUGCACACCCAUUCUACUUUCCCAAACCUCUGGAUUUCAGCUGAACAGAAGAAACACUCGAGUGUCACACCACCGUGUGAGCCUGUAAUAAAAAUCUAACAGCGCUGUC